CACACACACACACUUUCCUGGUAUACUCCUUGCAUCUGACUGCAUUAGCACGUCGGAAGGUUUCUGAGUUCAUCUGGCUCCAAAUCUAUAGUUCAUCAUUACAGCCCAUCAGCGAGCAUGAUCGAUACACGCUGCCUCUGGCCCACCCCUCGAAAUAAUCCUGGUUGCCUAUGCUCUAGCCAGGCAUUACAGCUCCACUCCGUGUUCUGGGGUUCCCUGACCUGUGGCAAGCUGGGAACCCUUUCCAUUCUGUUCAUCACCUGGGGAAAGGAAACUUCGUGAUGUUCGCACGCCUUUUGGAAAGACUCCCAAAGGCAUGUGGGUAAUAAAUGAACGGAGCUUUGGACGUGACCUUCCAGAUAAGGAAAGAUGUUCUGCAUAAAGCCCUAUCUUAACGAGGGGGAGUGAAUGAACGCUGGGUGAACCUGGAGCCGAGCGCGCAGGCAGAAGCCCUGUGCAGCCAGAAGACCCUGUGCGAGGGGCUUCCCUGUGUUUAACCUCUUGCUUCACCACCUCCAGUGACUGCAGCAGCUCUGCUUAUUCUCCGGAGGGCUUGCGGGGCCAAUCGAUCCCCUGGGAUUGCACAUCUCUGGCCACUUGAUGGCGCCCCAAUGGCCCUCACCGUAUGUCUCCCUGCAAGAAGGAAAAGUGUUUUCCUUACCUGAACGGAUCCUUCUCGGUGACAACGGUUAGGCUGGGGAGAGAAAAGAUUUAUAAUUAACCAGCUCUUGGCAGAAUUGCGGGGGGGGGGGGAUUGCUAAUUCGUAUGCACGCUGCUUGCUCCAAUUGGGCAAAGGCCAGUCAUGGGGCACCGCUCAUCCUAAGGAAUUGCCAUAAACUGUCUAUUAGAAGUGACAGACAGGCGUUAAUGCACCGCAACCGUGCGCGCGGUGCUGGAUGGCAGCUCUUCCCCCACUCCCCUGGCUGCCUCGGGCAAAAUAAUUAUUCGACGCAUUUCAGAGUUGGGGGGCGGGGCUGGGUGUGUCGGGGGAAGAUCAGGAAGCCAGAGCAGAGUCAAAGAUUUGAAGUUAGCUGCAGAGUUGGGCAGGAAUGGUUUAACAUCGCCUAGGGGGUAAUGCCUUUUGUGAUAAGAGUGCCCACUCAAAGAAGUGUCUGGGAGUGAAAAGAAACGGAGGAUUAUUGAUAAAAGAAUUGAUCUAAAAAGGCCGAUCUCUUUCUUGCUUUGGUGGCCGAACUGGACAAGGAGACAGGAGACCCGCUUAUUCUUUUAAAGGGGUACAAAGGAGGACAAGUGUGCUGUCAGAUACACACGAAUAUUUCGUGUGUGUGUGUAUGUGUGUAUGUGUAAUCCUACUAGCAACAAAAACAUUACAAUGACCUCGAACAACCAACAACAAUAAUCAAACAAAAACUGAAGUCCCUUCCUGUGCUUAUUUUUUCAGACAGUUCAGUCAAAUCCCAGGUCAUGAAAUCUCUCCAGUUAUCAGGAUCAGUUAAAAAAAAAACCCAACAACCCAGUGACUUCCAACAGCAGA